AUGCCCGUACCGAAAACCGACACAGGUGGAUGAGGAGAGAAUCCUAAGGCCGGCGGGAGAAGCAUUGUUAAGGAACUCGGCAAAAUGACCCCGUAACUUCGGGAGAAGGGGUGCCUGCGCGAGCAGGCCGCAGAGAAGAGGCUCAAGCAACUGUUUAGCAAAAACACAGGUCUAUGCGAAACCGAAAGGUGAAGUAUAUGGGCUGACGCCUGCCCGGUGCUGGAAGGUUAAGAGGAGGGGUUAGCGCAAGCGAAGCUCUGAAUUUAAGCCCCAGUAAACGGCGGCCGUAACUAUAACGGUCCUAAGGUAGCGAAAUUCCUUGUCGGGUAAGUUCCGACCCGCACGAAAGGCGUAAUGAUUUGAGCGCUGUCUCAACAAUGCACCCGGUGAAAUUGAAGUGCCAGUGAAGAUGCUGGCUACCCGCGCCAGGACGGAAAGACCCCAUGGAGCUUUACUCCAGCUUGAUACUGGGAUUCGGUCGUGCAUGUACAGGAUAGGUGGGAGGCAAAGAGACGAGGACGCCAGUCUUCGAGGAGCCGCUGUUGGGAUACCACCCUUGUGCGACUGGGUUUCUAACCUGCACCCGUAAGCCGGGUGGGGGACAAUGUCAGGUGGGGAGUUUGACUGGGGCGGUCGCCUCCGAAAGAGUAUCGGAGGCGCUCAAAGGUUCCCUCAGAAUGGUCGGAAACCAUUCGGAGAGCGCAAAGGCAGAAGGGAGCUUGACUGCGACAGCGACGGUUGGAGCAGGUACGAAAGUAGGACUUAGUGAUCCGGUGGUAUAAAGUGGGAUUGCCAUCGCUCAACGGAUAAAAGCUACCCUGGGGAUAACAGGCUUAUCACUCCCAAGAGUUCACAUCGACGGAGUGGUUUGGCACCUCGAUGUCGGCUCAUCGCAUCCUGGGGCUGUAGCAGGUCCCAAGGGUUGGGCUGUUCGCCCAUUAAAGCGGUACGCGAGCUGGGUUCAGAACGUCGUGAGACAGUUCGGUCCCUAUCCGGCGCGGGCGUAGGAUAUUUGAGAGGAGCUGUCCUUAGUACGAGAGGACCGGGAUGGACCGGCCGCUGGUGGACCUGUUGGAGAUCAACUCCAUGGCAGGGUAGCCAAGCCGGGACGGGAUAAACGCUGAAGGCAUCUAAGCGUGAAGCCCCCCUCAAGAUGAGAUAUCCCAUCGCAAGAGUAAGACCCCUUGAAGACGACGAGGUAGAUAGGGCAGAGGUGGAAGCACAGUAAUGUGUGGAGCUGACUGUUACUAAUAGGUCGAGGGCUUAACCUG
rnacentral:rRNA from 1 species